rnacentral:rRNA from 2 species
AGUGAAGCGGGAUGAGCUCAAAUUUAAAAUCUGGCUGGUUUACUAGUCCGAAUUGUAGUUUAUAGAAGCGUUUUCGGUGGCAGCCUGGGUAUAAAUCCUUUGGAAUAGGGUAUCAUAGAGGGUGAGAAUCCCGUCUUUGACUCAGUGCAUGCUACUAUGUGAUACGUUUUCAAAGAGUCGAGUUGUUUGGGAAUGCAGCUCAAAAUGGGUGGUAAAUUUCAUCUAAAGCUAAAUAUUGGCGAGAGACCGAUAGCGAACAAGUACCGUGAGGGAAAGAUGAAAAGAACUUUGAAAAGAGAGUUAAACAGUGCGUGAAAUUGUUGAAAGGGAAACGCUUGACACCAGUCAUGCGAGUGGAAAAUCAGUCUUUUGCAAUGGGGAGUUGUGGGCGUUCAGACCGCAAGGCUGGCGUUUGUUUCAUCUUUGUUGUAAGUGAUGCACUUUUUCAUUUGCAGGUCAACAUCAGUUUGCUUUGCUGGACAAAACCCCAAGGGAAGGUGGCAGCUUAGGCUGUGUUAUAGCCCUGGGGCGAUACAGUGGAGUGGACUGAGGUUUUCGCAGUGUGUGCUCUCUGGGCAAGGCUGACUGGGUGCUAUGGGAUCGUUCGGUGUACAAUGCAUGCAUUUUGCGCCGUGUCUUUUUCAUACUCGCUCAACUCGGCUCUUCCACACUUAGGAUGUUGACUUAAUGGUUUUAAUCGACCCGUCUUGAAACACGGACCAAGGAGUCUAACAUAUAUGCAAGUGUUUGGGUGGCAAACCCAUGCGCGUAAUGAAAGUGAACGUAGGUGCCAUCCGCAAGGUGCAGCAUCGACCGAUCUUGAUAUUUUUGGAUAGAUUUGAGUAAGAGCAUAUAUGCUGGGACCCGAAAGAUGGUGAACUAUGCCUGAAUAGGGUGAAGCCAGAGGAAACUCUGGUGGAGGCUCGUAGCGAUUCUGACGUGCAAAUCGAUCGUCAAAUUUGGGUAUAGGGGCGAAAGACUAAUCG